CUUGGAUAUGCACCUGGAAAGUGUCAGUGCAUUCGAAGUAGUAGGCGAGCAGAACAGUCCCAGCCAUGAUGACAAGCUGAAAAUAGAUGAAGCAUGGGAUGG